CUCCGAUUUGACACACUGAACUCUGUCUGAGAAGUAGUUGGUGAACCAGGUGAGGCAGUCAUUUGAGAAACCAAGGCUGUUGAGUCUGCUGAUAAGAAUACGGUGAUUGACAGAGUCGAAAGCCUUGGCCAGGUCAAUGAAGAUGUGGUGAUUGACAGAGUCAAAAGCCUUGGCCAGGUCGAUGAGGAUGUGGUGAUUGACAGAGUCAAAAGCCUUGGCCAGGUCGAUGAGGAUGUGGUGAUUGACAGAGUUGAAAGCCUUGGCCAGGUCGAUGAGGAUGUGGUGAUUGACAGAGUUGAAAGCCUUGGCCAGGUCGAUGAGGAUGUGGUGAUUGACAGAGUUGAAAGCCUUGGCCAGGUCGAUGAGGAUGUGGUGAUUGACAGAGUUGAAAGCCUUGGCCAGGUCGAUGAGGAUGUGGUGAUUGACAGAGUUGAAAGCCUUGGCCAGGUCGAUGAGGAUGUGGUGAUUGACAGAGUCGAAAGCCUUGGCCAGGUCGAUGAAGAUUGCU
ensembl:lncRNA